rnacentral:lncRNA from 1 species
GGCUAUUAAAUUUGGCGCCCCUGACAUCACUCGAGCCCUGGAUGUAAAGAAGUACUACUGCCAGCUGGCUGAGAGCCUCCAGUUCGAGUGUGGUGCAGCCUCCUCCGCUGUGGUUCGCCGUGGGGAUGGAAAACAACUGGAAGUGGGAGGAGCUGGAGGGUCAAGAGUCAAAGACCAGUCAAAGAUAACUGAUGCCAGUGAGCUGAAGAUGCUGAUUGCAGAGCUACGAAAGGAGCUCGCUGAGCUCGCGAAGUGUAACGAGGAGCUGGAGGAUGAGGUUGAGAUGAAGAAGGCUGCGUACAUGGACCAGAUUGCUGAGUUGAAGGGUACUAUAGAUGGACUGCGGCACCAGGCGGCUGACUUCCAGGUGCAGAUGAAUGAGCAGUGUGAAGACUACAAGGAGCUGCUCAGUGAGAAGAUGGCCAGAGACAUGGAAAUUAGUGCCUACAGGAGUCUGGUGGAGGAAGAGGAGGAGAGGCUGUGUGACCUGUGACUUGAAGCCGGAGAGUCAGACUGGCAGGCUGGAUGCUUCCCCCUCACAUGGAUUAGAAAAUAAGAAAAACGUGAAAAAACAAGCCUAAACCAGCACUAGGAUGAAGCUUAAGGUACCAACGCAGCAAUUUAAGCAGAACUUAUCAUGACAGAUUAAUGCCGUCUGGAGGCCUAAGCCGGGCCAUUGAUAACAGGUCUCUGGCAGAUGACCCCGAGACUUCAAGAAAGAUGGAGCUGUCUAAAAGAGGUGGGAGGACGGGGAGCCGUGCGAUGAUUGUGUAUCCAUUCAGUGUCUGGCAGGGAUUUUUCCUUAAGUGGUUUUAUCUUUACCAGCUCACUGACAUGAUUCAUAAAUGUUUUGUCCACUCUUUGUUCAACGAGUCCCACACAGACACACAGACACACAAGUUAAACUGCGCGGCUCCGUGAAGUCAUUCCCCCUCUGAUAUCACCUCGUCCAUCACUCAAACUUUGUCUGAUUAUUGGCUCUUAACCCUUGACCCCUUCACUGUUAACAAACAUAUUGCCAGCUCUCCGUUUGGUAACUAAAAGCAUCCCGCCUUCCCUUUUGCUUUUACAGUCAUGCAUUUGUGUUUCGUUUUGCGUAUAACUGCAGGGCACUGUUUGCUUUUCAAAUGGUUCAUGAAGUUAUUGUUAUUUCUGCAGUUCUUACAAAAAGAGCACCUGGAUGUUUCAACAAGUAAAACCUGCGUGAUUCAUUAUUUCUCCUUUUGAAAAGCAAUGUCCCAUGUUGCUGUCGUUUCAGAAAUAAGCAUUUGGUAAUACAUUCCUCUGUAAUGUUUUCCUUAUUUCAUACACGACUUUCAAGCUGUCUGUGAUAAAUCAUUUUUAGUUCACGCUUCUGCCCGAGCAUCACAAUGUGCUUUAGAUUUAAAUUAAAUAAAACCAGUUGCUUGAGAGA